rnacentral:rRNA from 1 species
CGGGGAGGUAGUGACGAAAAAUAACGAUACGGGACUCAUCCGAGGCCCCGUAAUCGGAAUGAGUACACUUUAAAUCCUUUAACAAGGAUCCAUUGGAGGGCAAGUCUGGUGCCAGCAGCCGCRGUAAUUCCAGCUCCAAUAGCGUAUAUUAAAGUUGUUGCGGUUAAAAAGCUCGUAGUUGAAUCUGUGUGUCACAGUGUCGGUUCACCGCUCGCGGUGUUUAACUGGCAUUAUGUGGUACGUCCUACCGGUGGGCUUAGCUCUUCACGGGGCGGUCCAACUAAUAUCCCAUCGCGGUGCUCUUCACUGAGUGUCGAGGUGGGCCGGUACGUUUACUUUGAACAAAUUAGAGUGCUCAAAGCAGGCUACCUUCGCCUGAAUACUGUGUGCAUGGAAUAAUGGAAUAGGACCUCGGUUCUAUUUUGUUGGUUUUCGGAACCCCGAGGUAAUGAUUAAUAGGGACAGAUGGGGGCAUUCGUAUUGCGACGUUAGAGGUGAAAUUCUUGGAUCGUCGCAAGACGGACAGAAGCGAAAGCAUUUGCCAAAAAUGUUUUCAUUAAUCAAGAACGAAAGUUAGAGGUUCGAAGGCGAUCAGAUACCGCCCUAGUUCUAACCAUAAACGAUGCCAGCUAGCGAUCCGCCGAAGUUCCUCCGAUGACUCGGCGGGCAGCUUCCGGGAAACCAAAGCUUUUGGGUUCCGGGGGAAGUAUGGUUGCAAAGCUGAAACUUAAAGGAAUUGACGGAAGGGCACCACCAGGAGUGGAGCCUGCGGCUUAAUUUGACUC